rnacentral:rRNA from 1 species
GACGUAGGGCGCGAGCGUUGUCCGGAAUUAUUGGGCGUAAAGGGCUCGUAGGCGGUUUGUCGCGUCGGGAGUGAAAACUCAGGGCUCAACCCUGAGCGUGCUUCCGAUACGGGCAGACUAGAGGUAUGCAGGGGAGAACGGAAUUCCUGGUGUAGCGGUGGAAUGCGCAGAUAUCAGGAGGAACACCGGUGGCGAAGGCGGUUCUCUGGGCAUUACCUGACGCUGAGGAGCGAAAGCAUGGGGAGCGAACAGG